GGCCCUGUGGCGAAACAUGGCAGCCGCGCCGGAUUCAAACUCCGGGUCCGACAGGACGUGUGGGUUCGAUUCCCUCCAGGGCUACC
rnacentral:tRNA from 1 species